rnacentral:rRNA from 1 species
AGACACGGCCCAGACUCUUACGGGAGGCAGCAGUAGGGAAUCUUGCGCAAUGGGCGAAAGCCUGACGCAGCCAUGCCGCGUGAAUGAUGAAGGUCUUAGGAUUGUAAAAUUCUUUCACCGGGGAAGAUAAUGACGGUACCCGGAGAAGAAGCCCCGGCUAACUUCGUGCCAGCAGCCGCGGUAAUACGAAGGGGGCUAGCGUUGCUCGGAAUUACUGGGCGUAAAGGGCGCGUAGGCGGACAGUUUAGUCAGAGGUGAAAGCCCAGGGCUCAACCUUGGAAUUGCCUUUGAUACUGGCUGUCUUGAGUUCGGGAGAGGUGAGUGGAAUGCCGAGUGUAGAGGUGAAAUUCGUAGAUAUUCGGCGGAACACCAGUGGCGAAGGCGACUCACUGGCCCGAUACUGACGCUGAGGCGCGAAAGCGUGGGGAGCAAACAGGAUUAGAUACCCUGGUAGUCCACGCUGUAAACGAUGAGUGCUAGUUGUCGGCAUGCAUGCAUGUCGGUGACGCAGCUAACGCAUUAAGCACUCCGCCUGGGGAGUACGGUCGCAAGAUUAAAACUCAAAGGAAUGGACG